AAUGUCCCAGUUCAGAUUACAGGCUGCAACUCGCCUGCAUGAAGUCGGAAUUGCUAGUAAUCGCAGAUCAGCAUGCUGCGGUGAAUGCGUUCCCGGGCCUUGUACACACCGCCCGUCACACCAUGGGAGUUGGAAAUGCCCGAAGUCGGUGACCUAACCGAAAGGGAGGAGCCGCCGAAGGCAGGUCUGAUAACUGGGGUGAAGUCGUAACAAGGUAAC
rnacentral:rRNA from 1 species